CGCACCAGUUGGUUGCCUAGCAACCGCCGGGAACUGUGGCCAUGACGUCAUUGGGUUGCGACACGCCCUCCGGGUCCCGCUGGCGGCGCCCCGGCUCCGGCGCAGUCUGGGAGAAGGCGAGGAGGAGAAUACAGGCACUAAGGGGAUAUAAGAUAACUGGAGGCACUUUGCUGCAAUAUACAUUUCCUGAGUUUGUGAAGGCAUUUCCCAAAUGCAAAAAGUCACGUGCAAGUUCUUGAGUGUAUAUCGAGUGUACUACAUAAAUACAAAAGGAAACUUCUAGUGACAUUGCGGAAGUGAUUGCAUCAUGCAGCUAUUAAAUAUGAUCAAUACAAAGUUCUUACAUUAAAAAUGUAGUUUCAUAUAUUUACAAGUUCUAAUUACUGUAUUCUCAUGUUUAGACUUGUUUUAAGCAGCAUAAGAAUAUAUGCAUUGUUUUAUGAAAAUACCAAAUUUCUACGACAUAAAUGUAUGUGAUAAUAUAUAUAGAAUGUUUUCAGACCCAUCAAGAAAUGCAUGCUAGUUAGAUGUUUGUUUAUAGUUUCAUUGGCCCUAAACUCAAUAUUCCCAUGAUACUGAAACACAAAAGGACUUUCUAGAGAGACACUCACAUGGUAUUU